GUGGGGAAUAUUGGACAAUGGGCGAAAGCCUGAUCCAGCCAUGCCGCGUGUGUGAAGAAGGUCUUCGGAUUGUAAAGCACUUUAAGUUGGGAGGAAGGGCAGUAAGUUAAUACCUUGCUGUUUUGACGUUACCGACAGAAUAAGCACCGGCUAACUUCGUGCCAGCAGCCGCGGUAAUACGAAGGGUGCAAGCGUUAAUCGGAAUUACUGGGCGUAAAGCGCGCGUAGGUGGUUUUGUAAGUUGGAGGUGAAAUCCCCGGGCUCAACAUGGGAACUGCCUCCAAAACUGCAUGACUAGAGUACGGUAGAAGGUAGUGGAAUUUCCUGUGUAGCGGUGAAAUGCGUAGAUAUAGGAAGGAACACCAGUGGCGAAGGCGACUACCUGGACUGAUACUGACACUGAGGUGCGAAAGCGUGGGGAGCAAACAGGAUUAGAUACCCGUGUAGUCC
rnacentral:rRNA from 1 species